GUAUAGUUUUAUGACCAGGUGGUAGUUUGACCCUUCCUCUGUACCCUGAACCUAAAGAAACACAUAUUUGGCAAGGCUUUCCUAGGAGUCUUUGACAUUUCCAGGAGUAUAGUUUUAUGACCAGGUGGUAGUUUGACCCUUCCUCUGUACCCUGAACAUGAAGAAACACAUAUUUGGCAAGGCUUUCCUAGGAGUCUUUGACAUUUCCAGGAGUAUAGUUUUAUGACCAGGUGGUAGUUUGACCCUUCCUCUGUACCAUGAACAUGAAGAAACACAUAUUUGGCAAGGCUUUCCUAGGAGUCUUUGACAUUUCCAGAAGUAUAGUUUUAUGACCAGGUGGUAGUGUGACCCUUCCUCUGUACCAUGAACAUGAAGAAACACUCAUUAGAACCCGAUUGCCCCCCUCUUUGACCUACAGAAAUACAGAACAUAGUUGACAUGAGAAGCAAAAGUGUCUUAUAAUACCAAUCCCAGGAUAUAGUUAAUAUUGUGUCAUCAAAACCCAGAUUGAAUUCAAACCUCUCCUGCGUCCAUCCCACUCUGAUUGGGCUCAUGUUAACGCCUCCCUGCACUGUGACGCCUUGUUUAAGAGGCCCCCGAGCCAAGAAGGACGGAACAGAGAGGGAGAAAGCUGUUGCUGAGAGGGAGAAAAUAUAAGAAAGAUUUUAAUGGAAGCGACCAAGAUAGAUAAUGGAGAGAGAGAGAGAGAGAGAGAGAGAGAGAGAGAGAGAGAGAGAGAGAGAGAGAGAGAGAGAGAGAGAGAGAGAGAGAGAGAGAGAGAGAAUUACCUCCACUAAAGAUGAUCCACAAAGUCUAAAUGGAUGUAUAUAAUGCAUGGCAUGGAGGUUAUGUUUUGUCUGCUUGUAUUGAAGGGGUUAACGCCUCCCUGCACCGUGACGCCUUGUUUAAGAGGCCCCCGAGCCAAGAAGGACGGAACAGAGAGGGAGAAAGCUGUUGCUGAGAGGGAGAAAAUAUAAGAAAGAUUUUAAUGGAAGCGACCAAGAUAGAUAAUGGAGAGAGAGAGAGAGAGAGAGAGAGAGAGAGAGAGAGAGAGAGAGAGAGAGAGAGAGAGAGAGAGAGAGAGAGA